rnacentral:rRNA from 1 species
UACGAAGGGGGCUAGCGUUGUUCGGAUUUACUGGGCGUAAAGCGCACGUAGGCGGAUUGGUAAGUUAGGGGUGAAAUCCUGGAGCUCAACUCCAGAACUGCCUUUAAUACUGCCAGUCUAGAGUCCGGAAGAGGUGAGUGGAACUCCUAGUGUAGAGGUGGAAUUCGUAGAUAUUAGGAAGAACACCAGUGGCGAAGGCGGCUCACUGGUCCGGUACUGACGCUGAGGUGCGAAAGCGUGGGGAGCAAACAGG